GUCAUCUCCAUUCACUCCAAUGGACCAUUUUUUACAGCAAUGGUGGAUCAUGGAGCCUCGCAAAUAGUUCCUGGAAGUUAGUAACAGCUGUGCCAGCACCGAAGUUUCAGAUGCACUUUUAGAAGCUCAGCUGAUGACAGAAACAGAGGGAAGGCGGAGGACUCAGAAUGAGACUAAAACGACAAGCUCAGGCAUCUCAGGAUAAUUCAGCCUGAAAACUUUGCACUAAGGCAGCACCCUGACCAUAAGACUCAUAUCCCUGAGUGUUUCAAGCUUAUGAAGCGAACACUAUAUUUGCCAGUAUUUUGGGCUUUGUUUGUAAGAAAAAAUAUUUAUUACUUGAAUAUGAUUUGCU